AUGCCCUAUUUGCUCUCAGUGAGGAAGCGUCCACUGAGCUUCUUAAGACAGCUUCACACCAGUACCUAUAAGAAAAACGUAAGCUGGGACAAAGAUGGAAUUGCCCCAUCAACAGCAGAUCCUAUUCCUCCUACUCUGAAUGCCUGUGCAGUGACUUUCAGAAAAUUGUCAUCACCCAAUUCCACAGAUCAGCUCUUGAAUGAUCAAGUCCAUGGUUUUGCCUGAAAUGUUGGAUGUCAGGAGGAAAAAACAAGUGUUUAGAACUGACUGGAAUGAGGAAAUUCUGGCAUAUGUUCAGCAAUGUCAGGCUGUGUGCAUUCAGCAGCAAGCUGCCACUUAUUUUAUGCCCAUCAACACAAAGCUAAAUAAAACAUGGUGUAGUGGAGAGGAUUUGGAGCA
rnacentral:lncRNA from 1 species